GGGCUGCCAAAGGGGGCGCAGCGGCAGCGAAGCUGGAGACCGUCUUUGGGGCGAGAGCUUCGCUUCAACCGUAUACGACUUCCUUAUCAGUCCCAGCCUGCUGGUAAAGUCAGCCUGCAGUGCAUUGAAGAGCCAAACCCGCCGCCACACAGGGCCCCGUAGAAAUGAACGGAACAACGAAAGAGAGUGAGAGAGAGAAAAACAGCGAGAGAAACUAAGUGCCCCAAUGUACAUUGGUGAUACAGUGGCGGUUACCUACGCUCCACGCGCCUCAUCUCUACAAGACCCCGUCAGAUAUCUCACGCAUCACCAGUCAGCAAGCACCAUCCGUUCCUGCUCCAGCCUAUAAUGAAGAUCAUAUGUUUAGCUGGUGCUGAAACCCAACACGAGACGUCCACAUCAAAUAAAAGCUGCUGCCAGCAGCGGGGCCUGCAGGAUCUGUCCCGCUCCGGGAGAAUGAAACCAUAUCUCUGUAGGCCUGCAACACAGGCCGUAAAAAGUAAAGAGGGCCCCCGUCCCCACGAAAAACCCAAUCCAACCAGGCUGGGAUGAGUUCACUUUUGCUUUGUCGAGAGUGGAGGUUUGGACGAGAGGUCCUGUGACAUUUUGACAUUUUUUGCAUAGAGGAAUAUCCCGCAAAUGCCACCGAUUUUUGAAUGGCCUUCAACGUACAAAGAGGCCUUUGAAGAGUCCAUAUGGGAGUUGGGCUAAACCGGUUGCGCUGUGUGUAUUUGAUUCACUAAACAGAACCAGCUUAUAAGAGUCAUUCGUUCAGGAUUCGUACAACCAGUCUCGCUGUCUGUUUUGCGUUGUGGAUUCAGUAGCGAUAGUUGGGGUUGCGCCGUAUGUAAACUGUGACAGGAAUAAAAAGAAGUCCAUUAAAGGUAGAAGUACAGUGCAUUCAAAAACGCUAGGUCUGGAACUUACUGACGUACCCCUCCCCCUUUUUUCAGCAUAGUGAUAAUGUGGUGAUAUUAUAGCAUAUAGCGAGAGAGAUUUACAAACAGUUUUUAAAAACUGGCCGAAUUUGGUACGUUUUUCAGCAAAGCACAUGGGUGAACAACGUAAUGAUUAUUCAGACGAUGAAAUAAAACAAAAUCCAAUUAAUAAAAACUGGCAUUGUCGAACCAUUAAUCACAUCCAAAAUAAUUAGUU